rnacentral:rRNA from 1 species
UACAGAGGUCUCAAGCGGUGUUCGGAUUCAUUGGGCGUAAAGGGUGCGGAGGUGGCGCCGUAAGUCGGGUGUGAAAUUUCGGAGCUUAACUCCGAAACUGCAUUCGAUACUGCGGUGCUUGAGGACUGGAGAGGAGACUGGAAUUCAUGGUGUAGCAGUGAAAUGCGUAGAGAUCAUGAGGAAGACCAGUGGCGAAGGCGGGUCUCUGGACAGUUCCUGACACUGAGGCACGAAGGCCAGGGGAGCAAACGGG